GCCCCUGUAGCUCAACAGCUAAGAGCAGUCGGCUUUUAACCGAAAGGCGAGGGUUGGAGUCCCUCCGGGGGCA
rnacentral:tRNA from 1 species